AACUUGCAGUGUCGUCACCAUGAACUGGACCCCACUCCUCCUCACCCUUCUCACUCAUUUUCCAGGGUCCUGGGCUCAGUUUCAACUGACACAAGAGGCCUCAGUGUCAGGCUCUGUGGGACAGAAGGUCACUCUCACAUGCACUGGGAGUAGCAGCAAUAUUGGGACCUAUGGUGCAGGCUGGUACCAGCAGGUUCCUGGUGCUGCCCCUAAAACUGUCAUGAUUGGAAAUUCACGGCCUUCAGGAAUCCCAGAUAGAUUCUCCGGUUCUAGAUCUGGCAACACGGCCUCUCUCACCAUCUCAAGUCUCCAGCCUGAGGACGAGGCUGACUAUUACUGUAAUACAUAUGAUGAUAGUGAUUAUAAUAGCACAGUGACUCAGGCCUUUGGGGAACUGAGACAAAAACCUUUCCUUGUGACCCAAGACCACCGCCAUGAGAUUCUGUGA